rnacentral:rRNA from 1 species
AGAGUUUGAUCAUGGCUCAGGAUGAACGCUGGCGGCGUGCCUAACACAUGCAAGUCGAACGGGAAUCUUCGGAUUCUAGUGGCGGACGGGUGGGUAACGCGUAAGAAUCUAACUUCAGGACGGGGACAACAGUUGGAAACGACUGCUAAUACCCGAUAUGCCGCAAGGUGAAACCUAAUUGGCCUGGAGAAGAGCUUGCGUCUGAUUAGCUAGUUGGUGGGGUAAGAGCCUACCAAGGCGACGAUCAGUAGCUGGUCUGAGAGGAUGAGCAGCCACACUGGGACUGAGACACGGCCCAGACUCCUACGGGAGGCAGCAGUGGGGAAUUUUCCGCAAUGGGCGAAAGCCUGACGGAGCAACGCCGCGUGAGGGAGGAAGGUCUUUGGAUUGUAAACCUCUUUUCUCAAGGAAGAAGUUCUGACGGUACUUGAGGAAUCAGCCUCGGCUAACUCCGUGCCAGCAGCCGCGGUAAUAAGGGGGAGGCAAGCGUUAUCCGGAAUUAUUGGGCGUAAAGCGUCCGCAGGUGGUCAGCCAAGUCUGCCGUCAAAUCAGGUUGCUUAACGACCUAAAGGCGGUGGAAACUGGCAGACUAGAGAGCAGUAGGGGUAGCAGGAAUUCCCAGUGUAGCGGUGAAAUGCGUAGAGAUUGGGAAGAACAUCGGUGGCGAAAGCGUGCUACUGGGCUGUAUCUGACACUCAGGGACGAAAGCUAGGGGAGCGAAAGGGAUUAGAUACCCCUGUAGUCCUAGCCGUAAACGAUGGAUACUAGGCGUGGCUUGUAUCGACCCGAGCCGUGCCGAAGCUAACGCGUUAGGUAUCCCGCCUGGGGAGUACGCACGCAAGUGUGAAACUCAAAUGAAUUGACGG